GGUCACCAAGGAAGCCAGAGUGGAGGCUGCAGGGAAUAUGGAUUUAAAUGAAUUUUGGCUGUACCAUCAAGCAGUCUGAUCACUGAGGAAAUAUCAAAAGCUUCACCCGAGUGACUCAUCACCCAAAUUCAACAGAGUUUCUACUCUUAAAAAUUCACUGCAUGGUCUCUACAGAGAAGAAGCAAAGGUUCUGCACUGCUACAGCUUUCUGUUAAAAGACAGAGCGUCCACAUUUUCUCUCAUUUUACUCUGAGACGGCCAGUCUGUUUUACAGUCUCCCACACACACUUUUCUUCUCUCAAAGACAUUUCCAAGUUUAAUAUUAUAUUUUAAAAAA
ensembl:lncRNA novel transcript